rnacentral:lncRNA from 1 species
GUGGCGCUGGAGAUUAUCCAUUGUCUUUGGUUGGGUUGGUGCUCACCCAGUGCUCAAGAGGGUUGAUGAUGUACUUUUAUUUCUACUUUUAUUUAUUUAUUUACUUUUUUUUUGUUAUGUGUUGUCUUUUUUCGUCCAUGGUUUUAAAUUGCCAACUUUGUAUCUUCCAUUUUUGAUUCAAUCUCAGUUGAUCAUUAUACCUGGGCUCUUUGAAUAUUGUGGACAGUGGUGGAAAUACUAUAAGGGAUAAGCCAUUCCCAAAUGUUCUAGGAAAUGGAUACCUUCUUUUUGAUUAAAUUGUGUGUGCUGCUUGAAAAAAAAAUUGUAAAAGAAGAUGUCUUAUGUGUUAAAUAUUGUGAGGUAUGAUAUAUUUUGUGUUCCACAGAGUUCAGUCUCAAAUUACACCAGGUACCAAUGAUGAUUUCUCACUCGAAAGAUUUUUUGUUCCCAUCCUGCAUAUGGUUUCUAAACAU